UGCAGUCGAGCGCAGGAAGCAAGCCGAUCCCCUUCGGGGGUGACGCUUGUGGAAUGAGCGGCGGACGGGUGAGUAACACGUGGGCAACCUGCCUGUAAGACCGGAAUAACCCCGGGAAACCGGGGCUAAUGCCGGGUAACACCUUCCCUCGCAUGAGGGAGGGUUAAAAGAUGGCUUCUCGCUAUCACUUACAGAUGGGCCCGCGGCGCAUUAGCUAGUUGGUGAGGUAACGGCUCACCAAGGCAACGAUGCGUAGCCGACCUGAGAGGGUGAUCGGCCACACUGGGACUGAGACACGGCCCAGACUCCUACGGGAGGCAGCAGUAGGGAAUCUUCCGCAAUGGACGAAAGUCUGACGGAGCAACGCCGCGUGAACGAUGAAGGUCUUCGGAUCGUAAAGUUCUGUUGUUAGGGAAGAACAAGUGCCGUGCGAAUAGAGCGGCACCUUGACGGUACCUAACGAGGAAGCCCCGGCUAACUACGUGCCAGCAGCCGCGGUAAUACGUAGGGGGCAAGCGUUGUCCGGAAUUAUUGGGCGUAAAGCGCGCGCAGGCGGUUCCUUAAGUCUGAUGUGAAAGCCCACGGCUCAACCGUGGAGGGUCAUUGGAAACUGGGGAACUUGAGGACAGAAGAGGAGAGUGGAAUUCCACGUGUAGCGGUGAAAUGCG
rnacentral:rRNA from 1 species